CCUACGGGAGGCAGCAGUGGGGAAUAUUGGACAAUGGGCGAAAGCCUGAUCCAGCCAUGCCGCGUGUGUGAAGAAGGCCUUCGGGUUGUAAAGCACUUUCAGUGGGGAAGAAAGCCUUGGGGCUAAUACCCUCGAGGAAGGACAUCACCCACAGAAGAAGCACCGGCUAACUCCGUGCCAGCAGCCGCGGUAAUACGGAGGGUGCGAGCGUUAAUCGGAAUUACUGGGCGUAAAGCGCGCGUAGGCGGUCUGAUAAGCCUGUUGUGAAAGCCCCGGGCUCAACCUGGGAACGGCAUCCGGAACUGUCAGGCUAGAGUGCAGGAGAGGAAGGUAGAAUUCCCGGUGUAGCGGUGAAAUGCGUAGAGAUCGGGAGGAAUACCAGUGGCGAAGGCGGCCUUCUGGACUGACACUGACGCUGAGGUGCGAAAGCGUGGGUAGCAAACAGGAUUAGAUACCCCAGUAGUC
rnacentral:rRNA from 1 species